rnacentral:rRNA from 1 species
AGAGUUUGAUCAUGGCUCAGGACGAACGCUGGCGGCGUGCUUAACACAUGCAAGUCGAGCGAUGAAGUUUCUUCGGAAAUGGAUUAGCGGCGAACGGGUGAGGAACACGUGAAGAAUCUGCCCUCCACUUUGGGAUAACACCGGGAAACCGGUGCUAAUACCGAAUAUUGAAACAUAAGUGGCAUCACUGAGUUUUGAAAGAAUUUCGGUGGAGGAUGACUUCGCGGCCUAUCAGCUAGUUGGUGAGGUAAUGGCUCACCAAGGCAACGACGGGUAGCCGGCCUGAGAGGGCGACCGGCCACACUGGGACUGAGACACGGCCCAGACUCCUACGGGAGGCAGCAGUGGGGAAUAUUGGGCAAUGGAGGAAACUCUGACCCAGCGACGCCGCGUGCGGGAUGAAGGCCUUCGGGUUGUAAACCGCUUUCAGUAGGGAAGAAGCGAAAGUGACGGUACCUACAAAAGAAGCACCGGCUAACUAUGCGCCAGCAGCCGCGGUAAUACAUAGGGUGCAAGCGUUGUCCGGAAUUAUUGGGCGUAAAGAGCUCGUAGGUCGUUUGUUACGUCGGAUGUGAAAACCUGAGGCUCAACCUCAGGCCUGCAUUCGAUACGGGCAAACUAGAGUUUGGUAGGGGAGACUGGAAUUCCUGGUGUAGCGGUGGAAUGCGCAGAUAUCAGAGGAACACCAAUGGCGAAAGCAGGUCUCUGGGCCAAUACUGACACUGAGGAGCGAAAGUCUGGGGAGCGAACAGGAUUAGAUACCCUGGUAGUCCAGACCGUAAACGGUGGGCACUAGUUGUGGGAACCUUCCACGGGUUUCUGCGACGCAGCUAACGCAUUAAGUGCCCCGCCUGGGGGGUACGAUCGCAAGAUUAAAACUCAAGGAAUUGACGGGNNCCGCACAAGCAGCGGAGCAUGCGGCUU